rnacentral:rRNA from 1 species
AUGGCCGUCGUCAAAAGAUACAGAAAUCCUGAUAACUUAAUCACUAUGACUUGCAACCCUUGCUGGAAGGAGAUAACUUCCAGACUUGAACCCGGACAAACACCACAAGACCAUCCUGACCUGGUGGCCUGAGUAUACAAGGCCAAGAUGCGGAGUCUGAAAGAUUUAUGAUAAAAAAAGUACUUUGGUAUGGUUGUGGCGUAUGCUCAUGUUACCGAUUUCAAAAAAGGGGUUCUGCCGCAUGAGCACUUCCUGCUGAUCAUGGCCUCAGAUAGUAAGCUAACAAAUCCAGACUCCUAUGAUAGGGUAAUCUAA